rnacentral:tRNA from 1 species
AAGUGGUUGAUUUAUAAUUUAUUAUUGAUUAAUAUCUAUUAUAACUGGUUCGGACUCUUAAUCCGUCGGUCGAGAGUUCGAGCCUCUCACAACCUACCA